CCUACGGGAUGCUGCAGUAGGGAAUUUUCCACAAUGGGCGAAAGCCUGAUGGAGCAACGCCGCGUGGGUGAAGAAGGUCUUCGGAUCGUAAAACCCUGUUGUUAGCGAAGAAAGUGCGUGAGAGUAACUGUUCUCGUUUCGACGGUAUCUAACCAGAAAGCCACGGCUAACUACGUGCCAGCAGCCGCGGUAAUACGUAGGUGGCAAGCGUUAUCCGGAUUUCUUGGGCGUAAAGGGAACGCAGGCGGUCUUUUAAGUCUGAUGUGAAAGGCGUCGGCUUAACCGGAGUAGUGCAUUGGAAACUGGGAGACUUGAGUGCAGAAGAGGAGAGUGGAACUCCAUGUGUAGCGGUGAAAUGCGUAGAUAUAUGGAAGAACACCAGGGGCGAAAGCGGCUCUCUGGUCUGUAACUGACGCUGAGGUUCGAAAGCGUGGGUAGCAAACAGGAUUAGAUACCCCUGUAGUC
rnacentral:rRNA from 1 species